AUUGAACGCUGGCGGCAUGCUUUACACAUGCAAGUCGAACGGUAACAGGCCGCAAGGUGCUGACGAGUGGCGAACGGGUGAGUAAUGCAUCGGAACGUGCCCAGUCGUGGGGGAUAACUACUCGAAAGAGUAGCUAAUACCGCAUACGAUCUAUGGAUGAAAGCGGGGGACCGUAAGGCCUCGCGCGAUUGGAGCGGCGGAUGUCAGAUUAGGUAGUUGGUGGGGUAAAGGCUCACCAAGCCAACGAUCUGUAGCUGGUCUGAGAGGACGACCAGCCACACUGGGACUGAGACACGGCCCAGACUCCUACGGGAGGCAGCAGUGGGGAAUUUUGGACAAUGGGCGCAAGCCUGAUCCAGCAAUGCCGCGUGCAGGAAGAAGGCCUUCGGGUUGUAAACUGCUUUUGUACGGAACGAAACGGCUCUGGUUAAUACCCGGGGCUAAUGACGGUACCGUAAGAAUAAGCACCGGCUAACUACGUG
rnacentral:rRNA from 1 species